rnacentral:tRNA from 1 species
CAGGAGACAUAAAACUGAUUAUGAUGUCUGAUUUAUAAACUUAGGCCGUAAUCCUGUCACUUAGGUCGAUCGGUACCUCAGAUUAUUAACUGUGAAAUUGAGAAAUCAUUUAUCAUUAGUCUUUAAUUUCAGUUCCUAAACUUGUCUAGGUCACACCUAACAAACUUUCUCCUGGGCUAUUAGCUCAGGCGGUUAGAGCGCACCCCUGAUAAGGGUGAGGUCCCUGGUUCAAGUCCAGGAUGGCCCAUUCGGUGUUGGGGGUAUAGCUCAGUUGGUAGAGCGCCUGCUUUGCAAGCAGGAUGUCAGCGGUUCGAGUCCGCUUACCUCCACUGAUCCAAUCCCUGAUAACGCACCCUCAGGAUAUUUUGUUGAUGUGAUCUAGUAUUUGUUCUCUAAUAAGAACCUAGCUUCUUGUCAUUCCAUAAGAACUAUUUUUUAUGGUUGAUAUGACGCUGGGCUCCCUGCAAUACAAAUGGCAGAGACGUUCAGUAGAACCUUGACAACUGCAUAGGUGAGUCUGGAAAGAAUAAAGCAUCUCAUGGAUGCAUUAUUCUUUCAAGUCAAUAUAUUGUUGUUCUGAUUAAGUCAGAAUCACUAAUUUUGACUUGAAAUUAUAAUGAUUAAUUCUUGAGUCAAGAGCCGAGACUCUAAUAACGUACUUUCAUUGUUUUUACAAUGAAAGUAAGAUUUUUAAUUUAUUAUGUUUUUAAAUUCAAGAAUUUUUCUUGAUAUUUGAAAUCAAAACUUCUAAUAAAUUAAUUAAAAUUGUGCUAACAACACAAGCGUUUUAGAGAUUAAU